CAUAAUGAGACAAUUUGUGUAUUAGUAACUUGUAAAAUGCUUACGUUUUGUAAAAUAAUUUUACAAACUUUUACAAAAUAAAAAGACGCCCUUGAUCGGUGUAAGUGUACAAAAAUUUGGGAGCUAAUUUUCCUCCUAAAUAAUAAUAAAAUUUUGAAGAGUUUGUAAGUUUACAGAAUUUAUGGAUUUUACAAUGCUACCAAGACCUGCGUGAAUUGCAUUUAUACGUAGAAAAUAGGAUUGUAGUGUGUUUAAAACCUCAAAUUUGUAACAUAUAUCGAGUGAAAAUGAAGUUCAAGAUGUAAAUCAGUGUAUAGGCAGAUUUGUAAACUGGAUGAAUUCUUUGUUCUUAGCUUGUUUUAUCUAUAACAUAUAGAACCAGAAUAAUCUAUGCAAAUCAAUCACUGCAUUCAUGUAAAUGAAUACACACAUUUUUAAAAAUAAAUAAUCAUGAACUAAACUUAACUUUGUAAAAAAAUGCCUGUGUUGUUUAUGUAUGGCUUACAAGCCAUUAAAUACAAUAUGUCUAUAUUAUUAUUAAUUUUAAGGUUUUAAAGAUGCUUGAAUUAGCAAUGUGGAUCGAGAAAUAUUGUAAAAUAAGUCUUAAUACGACUUCAUAAUUUAAUCUAAAUUGCUGUCAAAUUGGGUAAUGCAAUUUGGAAAUAAAUAUCUCAGAAAGUUUUAUUUAUUCGUCCAGUUUUCAAAUUUUAUGAUUGUUUGAAUUUGUGAUGUCGUUUUUUAUGCACUUUGUUUGUAUGGAAAAUGAUUACAUAUCUGAGUUUCAAAUUGUAUUUAAUCUUGUUAAGAACGUUAGUUUAAUUUUUAUUAAACAGUAUUAUAAAGACGUGUUUAGUAUUAAGUUUCGUACUAAAUUAAACUGAAUUAAAAGCCGUUAUGUAUAUUUUUCGCUAAUCAAGUUGCUCAAUAAUAAAUAGAUUUUUACACAAAA